GACAAAACCGGCAUGUAGGCUUACUGGGUUGGAUGUUUUCUUUUCCCCAGGUUGUCCUUGAGAUUCCAACUCUUCCUAAUUGGCCCCGGGGGAGAGAGGCGAGCUUGGCUCCUAUCAGAGGAAGACAGAGUUGUUGAGUGUCCAAAUGAAACCAGCAAACCAGCGAUGGUGUCUGAGGAUUCAGACAACUGGUCUGAGCAUCACUAAAGAUUGUUCUCAGGCCCUGAGUUUUGCUUCAAGCAUAUUAUCAUCUUAAAAUUUUACUUUCCUAGACUUACAUAAAUUGAUACAGAGUAAAAUAAGUAGAACCAGGGGAACAUCGUACACAGUAACAGCGCUAUGAUGGAAUGAUCAGCUGUGAUCAGCAAUACAAUGAUCCAGGACAAUUCUGAAGGACUUACAACAAAGAAUGCUAUGUACCUCCAAAGAAAGAACUGUUGGAGUUGAAAUGAAGAUGAAAGCAUGCAUUUUUCACUGGUUUAUUUGGGGGUUUUAGUUUUUUAUGAUUAUUCACUUACAAAAUUAUUCAUAUGAUUGUUCACUUACAAAAAUGAACAGUAUAGAAAUAGGUUUUGCAAAAUAAUACAUGUAUAACCCAGACUGAAUUACUUGCCAUCUUUGAGAGGGGGAAGAGAAGGGAGGAAAGGAGACAAUUUGGAUUAUAUAACUUCAGAAAACAUGUGGAAAUUUAUUAUUACAUGUAAUUGGUAA
rnacentral:lncRNA from 1 species